rnacentral:rRNA from 1 species
UACGUAGGGGCAAGCGUUGUCCGGAAUUAUUGGGCGUAAAGAGCGCGUAGGCGGUCCGAUAAGUCGGCUGUGAAAGUCCAGGGCUCAACCCUGGAAAGCCGGCCGAUACUGUCGGACUAGAGUCCGGAAGAGGCAAGUGGAAUUCCCGGAUGUAGCGGUGAAAUGACGCAGAUAUCGGGAGGAACACCAAUUGCGAAGGCAGCUUGCUGGGACGGUACUGACGCUGAGGCGCGAAAGCCAGGGGAGCAAACGGGG